rnacentral:rRNA from 1 species
UACAGAGGUCCCAAGCGUUGUUCGGAUUCACUGGGCGUAAAGGGUGCGCAGGUGGCUUGGCAAGUUUGAUGUGAAAGCUCAGGGCUUAACCCUGAAAUGGCAUUGAAUACUGUUGAGCUGGAGGUUUGGAGGGGGGACUGGAAUUCUUGGUGUAGCAGUGAAAUGCGUAGAUAUCAAGAGGAACACCAGUGGCGAAGGCGAGUCCCUGGACAACACCUGACACUGAGGCACGAAAGCUAGGGGAGCAAACAGG